rnacentral:lncRNA from 1 species
AAUUUGUAUAGAACUCUUUCUACUAGCUUCCAGGAAUCCCUGCUCUGUGAGCUUUUUGCCAAACUGAUUGAUCUUCCCAGACAUAAUCUGGGGACCUUCUCUAAUAUGCCCCUGUCCCGCUGUCAGCUUAAUACACUCUUUUGCUAAGUAAUAGGGUAUUGCUAGUGUUCUUCCAGGUUCUCUUCAUAAAGGCGCUUCUCUGUCAAUAAGAGACUGUGUUUAUAUUCUUGUGCACAAAUAACUGGCCCUCUUCUCAGUGUUUGAGAUCCCUCAUCUUGCUCCGACUGUUGCAGCCUUUUCUCGCCAUGACAGACUGCCAUACUACAUGGCCUUCUCCCAUCGAAAGGGUCUAGCAUGUGGACCACUGAACUGCCAAGGAAGCAGUCCAACUGCCCUGAGGCUGCCAUGCUGUGAGGAAACCCAAAGUGGUCCAUAAAGAAGGAUUAUGUGGAGGGACCCUGAAAGAUGCCUGGCCUGCCUCCCACUGCUCCAGUACCCUCCUCCCCAACUCUUCCAGCUUCAGCCACUGUCUGCAACCACAUGAGAGCUCCCGAGCCAUAAAUGCCCAGCCUAGUCUCCCCUAAGUUUCUAACCCACAGUUUAAACUACUAAGCUUGGGUUGCUUUGUUAUGCCUCAAUAGCAACUGGGACAUGCCCCUUUCUCCAUUCUGCUGCUGAAUCUGGUUACAGCAGCAGAGACACAUGCCAGGGGCAUCUCUAGUAACAGGGGAAAGCCCUUUGGGAGUAGAUUCAAAGUGGGGGGUCAAGACAAAUUAUUCAGCGAGCCUGACUUUUAGAACUCAAGGGGCACCAAGUAAGUGCAUGAUCCUGAGGCAAUCAAUUCCUCUCGUUUUCCUUUUUUUGUAAAGGGAUGAACUAGACACAGUGUGGAAAGCCAGCUUUACCACAUUCUCCUACGAUCUUCUGAAGUUACCUAAUCUCUCUAACCCCAGAUUCCUCUUCUGUAAAAUGGGGAUAAUAGCCACAAAAAUAGAACAGUAGUGUAAAAUUAGAUAGUAUGUGUGGAAAAGUAGAGUCUUGAAACUUGACUUAAGUGGUUGAUGAAUGUUAGCCCCCUCCACCAAUGCCUUCCCCUUGCAUUCUAAUAUUCUCUGCUCCUCUGAGCAAAUUUACCAGAUGAUUGUUGGAGUUUUUUGUAAUCCUCAUCAAGUCAGAGAAGACUAGUGAGGUUGUGGCAAAUAAAUGAUUCUGAGGGUCCAGGGCGAGCUUUAGGUAAAUUGUGGUUUUAGUGUUUGAGAAAGAGCCUGUCACUAGUGGGAGUCUUCAUUAUUCACUGGCAAGAUAUAACAAGCAGGGCUUUGCAGUAAUGCACAGCUCCUCUGCUCUUGGCAAUCUUGUGGCCGAAAGAUAUUUUUAAAGCCCCUGUUUUCAGAUGACCGUGUUUCUGAUUAGCAUGUGUCUUUUCCAUUUUCAGUUCCACGAAGAGAAAGGCAAGUGAAAUUUGCCCAGCCUCACCAUCUCCAAAUGGGUGAUAUUACUGAACAAUUAUUUAAUGGCCCCACAGCAUCUGUUUUUUAUAUUUUGGGGUCCAUACUGGAAGUUCAAGCUUAUGAAUAAUCCAGAUAUUUAAAAGCCAAUGCUCAACUGGAUAUUCUCCUUAGGAUUAUUUUAGCCUUGUCUAGAAUCAGAGUGUCUGUCAAUUGCCACAACAUAUAUAUUAAGUUUGAAAGAGAUUAAGCUGGAAAAUUCGAUAUUUUAAAAAUAAUACCAAGAGAGGCUGGGAGCAGAAAGAGAAGAAAAGAUAACUAUUGGGUACUGGGUGAUGAAAUAAUAUUUACAAUAAACCCCCAUGGCAAGUGUUUACCUAUGUAGCAAACCUUCACAUGCACCCCCAAACAUAAAAUAAAAGUUAAAGAAAGAAAAAAACAGAAACUCUUACUUAUAACUCAUUUCAUUUAAUAACGUUUUUACUCUUUUAAAAAUAAAAUAAUGCUAAUGAUGAUGAUAACAGGGUUCAUACCUGUAGAGCAUUUUACAAGUGGCAGAGAGCUUUCAUUGAUAUCAUUUCUCUUAAGUCUUCACCCUGUGAGGUAGGCAUAGAAAGAAAUUUUAUCCCCAAAUGACAGAUGAAAAAAUAGAGAGCCCAUGAGUUUAACUGACUUGCUCAAAGCCACAAAGGCUGCAUUUCCUGAGCCUGAGUACCCCUAGGAAGAGCUCCAGCCAAUCUAGGGUGCAGAACCAAUGAGUUAGUUUAUCAUUUAUCAAUCCCAGUGAUGCAUAAGCUGUGCAGAAUUAGAAAGGUCAGCUCCAGGCUGGCCCACCAAAAAAGUAGAGGAAAACUUGGGAAUGCCCACUAGCCUAUUCAGAAGUUGGAUUCAGGUUGGGAGAAAGAAAAUAGGAGCCGAAUUAUUUUGAGGUGGUAUACACGAGUUACCUAUUGCCAUUGUAACAAAGCCAGCACAAACUUGGUGGCUUACAAUGACAUAAAUUUAUCCUUUUACAGUUCUGGAAACCAAAAAUCCAACAUUAAUUUCUCUGGGCUUUCAAAUCAAGCUGCCAGCAGGGAGAGUUCCUUCUGGAGGCUGUAGGGGAGAAUGUAUUUCCUUGCCUUUUUCAGCUUCCAGAGAUUCUCAUAUUCUUUGACUUGUGGCCCCUUCCUCCAUCUUCAAUGCAUAUAAUCUCUGUUUCCAUUGUCACACAACUCUCCUCCUACACCUUACAAUGGACCCAUCUGGAUGACAUGGGAUAAUCUCUGCACUUCAUGACCCCUAACUUAAUCACAUCUGCAAAGUCCCUUUAACAUGUAGGAGAACAUAGUCCCAGGUUCCAGGAAUUAGGACAUGGGCAUCUUUGGGACCAUCAUUCAGUCUACCAUAGGUGACAAGGUGACAGGCGGAUGGUGGCCACCGUUUUUUUUUGCAUGGUUGUGUUUGCCUGUCUGAAAGCCACACUCCUCACUGCCACCUGACAUGUAGAGGCCAAAAUAGAAAACACAUCUUCAGAUCCCAAGUAAAGUGCUCUUUCAGGCACGUCACACCUGCCAUCUCAAACUAU